rnacentral:rRNA from 1 species
CCUACGGGGGGCAGCAGUGAGGAAUAUUGGUCAAUGGACGCAAGUCUGAACCAGCCAUGCCGCGUGCAGGAAGACGGCUCUAUGAGUUGUAAACUGCUUUUGUACGAGGGUAAACGCAGAUACGCGUAUCUGUCUGAAAGUAUCUUACGAAUAAGGAUCGGCUAACUCCGUGCCAGCAGCCGCGGUAAUACGGAGGAUUCAAGCGUUAUCCGGAUUUAUUGGGUUUAACGGGUGCGUAGGCGGUCGGAGAAGUUAGAGGUGAAAUCCCGAGGCUCAACUUCGGAAUUGCCUCUGAUACUGUUAGGCUAGAGAGUAGUUGCGGUAGGCGGAAUGUAUGGUGUAGCGGUGAAAUGCUUAGAGAUCAUACAGAACACCGAUUGCGAAGGCAGCUUACCAAGCUACGUCUGACGUUGAGGCACGAAAGCGUGGGGAGCAAACAGGAUUAGAUACCCCUGUAGUC